rnacentral:misc_RNA from 1 species
GAUGAAGAACGUAGCGAAAUGCGAUAAGUAGAGUGAAUUGCAGAAUUCAGUGAAUCAUCGAAUCUUUGAACGCACAUUGCGCCCCUUGGUAUCCCGAGGGGCAUGCCUGUUCGAGCGUCAUUUCACCACUCAAGCCUGGCUUGGUGUUGGGCGACGUCCUCUUUGGGGACGCGCCUCGAAACGCUCGGCGGCGUGGCACCGGCUUUAAGCGUAGCAGAAUCUUUCGCUUUGGAAGUCGGGGCCCCGUCUGCCGGAAGACCUGCUCGCAAGGUUGACCUCGGAUCAGGCAGGGAUACCCGCUGAACUUAAGCAUAUCAAUAAGCGGAGGA